rnacentral:rRNA from 1 species
AACGAACGCUGGCGGCAGGCUUAACACAUGCAAGUCGAACGCCCCGCAAGGGGAGUGGCAGACGGGUGAGUAACGCGUGGGAAUCUACCGUGCCCUACGGAACAACGCAUGGAAACGUGUGCUAAUACCGUAUACGCCCUACGGGGGAAAGAUUUAUCGGGGAUGGAUGAGCCCGCGUUGGAUUAGCUAGUUGGUGGGGUAAAGGCCUACCAAGGCGACGAUCCAUAGCUGGUCUGAGAGGAUGAUCAGCCACAUUGGGACUGAGACACGGCCCAAACUCCUACGGGAGGCAGCAGUGGGGAAUAUUGGACAAUGGGCGCAAGCCUGAUCCAGCCAUGCCGCGUGAGUGAUGAAGGCCCUAGGGUUGUAAAGCUCUUUCACCGAUGAAGAUAAUGACGGUAGUCGGAGAAGAAGCCCCGGCUAACUUCGUGCCAGCCGCCGCGGUAAAAC